UACGUAGGGUGCGAGCGUUAAUCGGAAUUACUGGGCGUAAAGCGUGCGCAGGCGGUUAUGUAAGACAGAUGUGAAAUGCCCGGGCUUAACCUGGGAACUGCAUUUGUGACUGCAUGGGCUAGAGUGUGUCAGAGGGGGGGUAGAAAUUCCACGUGUAGCAGUGAAAUGCGUAGAUAUGUGGAGGAAUACCGAUGGCGAAGGCAGCCCCCUGGGAUAACACUGACGCUCAUGCACGAAAAGCGUGGGGGAGCAAAACCAGG
rnacentral:rRNA from 1 species